AAGAACAGCUGUGAGGAACAAGUCGAGAGAACUCCGCCUCAGCCCUCAAGACAGCCAACAGGAGCAUAGUCAUGACCAUGAAGAACUGAUGUUAACCAUCGAGUCUUUGAAGAUCGAGAAGAAGAGACUGCUGCUUUUGAGCCAACGAAUGAUUGGUAAAGAGCUUGACGGUAUGAGUUACGCUGAGCUGUAUGUGUUGGGCUUUGAUAUAACGCGUGCUCUUAUGAACGUAAUGCAAGAGAUGGACAAGAUAAAA